UUGUUACUCCCUCCGAUCCAUAUUAAUUGUCGAAACAUUACAUGUAUCAAGACGAUUUUUAGGCAUAGAUACAUCCAUAUUUGGGCAAAUUUGAGACAAUUAAUAUGGAUCGGAGGGAGUAGUAU
rfam:Brachypodium distachyon strain Bd21 chromosome 5, whole genome shotgun sequence.